UACGGGGGGGGGUAAGCGUUGUUCGGAAUUACUGGGCGUAAAGGGCUCGUAGGCGGCCAACUAAGUCAUACGUGAAAUCCCUCAGCUUAACUGGGGAACUGCGUGUGAUACUGGAUGGCUUGGAUUUGGGAGAGGGAUGCGGAAUUCCAGGUGUAGCGGUGAAAUGCGUAGAUAUCUGGAGGAACACCGGUGGCGAAGGCGGCAUCCUGGACCAAUAUUGACGCUGAGGAGCGAAAGCUAGGGGAGCAAACGGG
rnacentral:rRNA from 1 species